rnacentral:rRNA from 1 species
AGAGUUUGAUCAUGGCUCAGGACGAACGCUGGCGGCGUGCCUAAUACAUGCAAGUCGAGCGCAGGAAGCAAGAUGAUCCCUUCGGGGUGAUUCUUGUGGAAUGAGCGGCGGACGGGUGAGUAACACGUGGGCAACCUGCCUGUAAGACUGGGAUAACUCGCGGAAACGUGAGCUAAUACCGGAUAACACUUUUCUUUACCUAAAGAGAAGUUGAAAGGCGGCUCUUUGAGCUAUCACUUACAGAUGGGCCCGCGGCGCAUUAGCUAGUUGGUAGGGUAAUGGCCUACCAAGGCAACGAUGCGUAGCCGACCUGAGAGGGUGAUCGGCCACACUGGGACUGAGACACGGCCCAGACUCCUACGGGAGGCAGCAGUAGGGAAUCUUCCGCAAUGGACGAAAGUCUGACGGAGCAACGCCGCGUGAACGAUGAAGGUUUUCGGAUCGUAAAGUUCUGUUGUUAGGGAAGAACAAGUACCGUUCAAAUAGGGCGGUACCUUGACGGUACCUAACGAGGAAGCCCCGGCUAACUACGUGCCAGCAGCCGCGGUAAUACGUAGGGGGCAAGCGUUGUCCGGAAUUAUUGGGCGUAAAGCGCGCGCAGGCGGUUUUUUAAGUCUGAUGUGAAAUUUUGUGGCUCAACCACAAGCGGUCAUUGGAAACUGGAGAACUUGAGUACAGAAGAGGAGAGUGGAAUUCCACGUGUAGCGGUGGAAUGCGUAGAUAUGUGGAGGAACACCAGUGGCGAAGGCGACUCUCUGGUCUGUAACUGACGCUGAGGCGCGAAAGCGUGGGGAGCGAACAGGAUUAGAUACCCUGGUAGUCCACGCCGUAAACGAUGAGUGCUAGGUGUUAGGGGGUUUCCGCCCCUUAGUGCUGCAGUUAACGCAUUAAGCACUCCGCCUGGGGAGUACGGCCGCAAGGCUGAAACUCAAAAGAAUUGACGGGGACCCGCACAAGCGGUGGAGCAUGUGGUUUAAUUCGAAGCAACGCGAAGAACCUUACCAGGUCUUGACAUCCGCUGCCAAUCCUAGAGAUAGGACUUUCCCUUCGGGGACAGCGUGACAGGUGGUGCAUGGUUGUCGUCAGCUCGUGUCGUGAGAUGUUGGGUUAAGUCCCGCAACGAGCGCAACCCUUGAUCUUAGUUGCCAGCAUUUAGUUGGGCACUCUAAGGUGACUGCCGGUGACAAACCGGAGGAAGGUGGGGAUGACGUCAAAUCAUCAUGCCCCUUAUGACCUGGGCUACACACGUGCUACAAUGGAUGGUACAAAGGGCAGCGAAGCCGCGAGGUGAAGCAAAUCCCAUAAAACCAUUCUCAGUUCGGAUUGUAGGCUGCAACUCGCCUACAUGAAGCCGGAAUCGCUAGUAAUCGUGGAUCAGCAUGCCACGGUGAAUACGUUCCCGGGUCUUGUACACACCGCCCGUCACACCACGAGAGUUGGCAACACCCGAAGUCGGUGAGGUAACCUUUUUAGGAACCAGCCGCCGAAGGUGGGGCCAAUGAUUGGGGUGAAGUCGUAACAAGGUAGCCGUAUCGGAAGGUGCGGCUGGAUCACCUCCUUUCUG